rnacentral:rRNA from 1 species
UACAGAGGUCCCAAGCGUUGCUCGGAUUCAUUGGGCGUAAAGGGUGCGUAGGUGGCGCCGUAAGUCGGGUGUGAAAUUUCGGAGCUUAACUCCGAAACUGCAUUCGAUACUGCGGUGCUUGAGGACUGGAGAGGAGACUGGAAUUCAUGGUGUAGCAGUGAAAUGCGUAGAGAUCAUGAGGAAGACCAGUGGCGAAGGCGGGUCUCUGGACAGUUCCUGACACUGAGACACGAAGGCCAGGGGAGCAAACGGG